rnacentral:rRNA from 1 species
CCUACGGGAGGCAGCAGUGGGGAAUAUUGGGCAAUGGACGCAAGUCUGACCCAGCAACGCCGCGUGAAGGAAGAAGGCUUUCGGGUUGUAAACUUCCUUUUAGGGGGAAGAGCAGAAGACGGUACCCCUUGAAUAAGCCACGACUAACUCCGUGACAGCCGCCCGGGUCAUACGUAGGUGGCAAGCUUUGUCCGGAUUUGCUGGGGGUAAAGGGCGUGCAGCCGGGGAGACAAGUCAAAUGUGAAAUCCACGGGCUCAACCCGUGAACUGCAUUUGAAACUGUUUCCCUUGAGGGUCGGAGAGGUAAUCGGAAUGCCUGGUGUAGCGGUGAAAUGCGUAGAUAUAAGGAAGAACACCAGUGGCGAAGGCAGAUUACUGGACGAUAACUGACGGUGAGGCGCGAAAGCGUGGGGAGCAAACAGGAUUAGAUACCCUUGUAGUC